rnacentral:rRNA from 1 species
UACGAAGGGGGCUAGCGUUGCUCGGAAUCACUGGGCGUAAAGGGUGCGUAGGCGGGCUCUUUAAGUCAGGGGUGAAAUCCUGGAGCUCAACUCCAGAACUGCCCUUUGAUACUGAAGAUCUUGAGUUCGGGAGAGGUGAGUGGAACUGCGAGUGUAGAGGUGAAAUUCGUAGAUAUUCGCAAGAACACCAGUGGCGAAGGCGACACACUGGCCCAUUACUGACGCUGAGGCGCGAAAGCGUGGGGAGCAAACAGG